rnacentral:rRNA from 1 species
UCUACGGGAGGCAGCAGUGGGGAAUAUGGACAAUGGGGGCAAGCCUGAUCCAGCCAUGCCGCGUGGUGAAGAAGGCCUUCGGGUGUAAAGCUCUUUUGUCUGGGAAGAAGUGCAGGUAGUUAAUACUUGGGUAAUGACGGUACCGGAAGAAUAAGCACGGCAAUUUUUG